rnacentral:rRNA from 1 species
UGUGACAUACCUAAAACGUUGCUUCCGCGGGAACAGACGGCCCUGUAACAACGGGCCGCCCCCGCAAGAGGACCCCUAACUCUGUUUUUAUAAUGUUUUUCUGAAUAAACAAGCAAAUAAAUUAAAACUUUCAACAACGGAUCUCUUGGCUCUGGCAUCUAAGAAAAACGCAACAAAAUGCGAUAAGUAAUGUGAAUUGCAAAAUUCAGUGAAUCAUCAAAUCUUUGAACGCACAUUGCGCCCGCCAGUAUUCUGGCGGGCAUGCCUGUUCGAGCGUCUUUACAACCCUCAGGCCCCCGGGCCUGGCGUUGGGGAUCGGCGGAAGCCCCCUGUGGGCACACGCCGUCCCUCAAAUACAGUGGCGGUCCCGCCGCAACUUCCAUUGCGUAGUAACUAACACCUCGCAACUGGAGAGCGGCGCGGCCAUGCCGUAAAACACCCAACUUCUGAAUGUUGACCUCGAAUCAGGUAGGAAUACCCGCUGAACUUAAGCAUAUCAAUAAGCGGAGG